rnacentral:rRNA from 1 species
AGGGUUUGAUUCUGGCUCAGGACGAACGCUGGCGGUGCGCCUUAUGCAUGCAAGUCGAGCGAAGCUUUUCAGUAGUUUACUACAGAAAAUGACUGAGCGGCGAACGGGUGAGUAACGCGUGAGCAAUCUACCUUAGUUACAGGGAUAGCCCGAGGAAACUCGGAUUAAUACCUGAUAUUCUUUAUUUCUCGCAUGAGAAUAAAAGGAAAGGUCAGCCGAACUAAGAUGAGCUCGCGUUCUAUCAGCUUGUUGGUGAGGUAAAAGCUUACCAAGGCUACGACGGAUAGCUGGUCUGAGAGGACGAUCAGCCACACUGGGACUGAGACACGGCCCAGACUCCUACGGGAGGCUGCAGCAGGGAAUAUUGUGCAAUGAACGAAAGUUUGACACAGCGACACCGCGUGUGGGAUGACGGAUCUAGGUUUGUAAACCACUUUCAGGAGGGAAGAAAAUGACGGUACCUCCACAAGAAGCCCCGGCCAACUACGUGCCAGCCGCCGCGGUAAUA